UGGGGAAUAUUGCACAAUGGGCGCAAGCCUGAUGCAGCAACGCCGCGUGAGUGCUUAAGGCUUUCGUGUCGUAAAACUCUGUCCUAUGGGAAGCAAACCCUGACGUUACCCUAGGAGGAAGCCCCUGCUAACUACGUUCCAGCAGCCGCGUUCCUACUUAGGGGGCAAGCGUUAUCCGGAAUCACUGGGCGUAAAGGGUGCGUAGGUGGCUUAUCAAGCCAGAGUUGAAAGGCAUUGGCUAAACCAAUGUAAGCCUUUGGAACUGAUAGGCUUGAGUGCAGGAGAGGUAAGUGGAAUUCCUAGUGUAGAGGUGAAAUUCGUAGAUAUUAGGAGGAACACCAGUGGCGAAGGCGACUUACUGGACUGUAACUGACACUGAGGAACGAAAGCGUGGGGAGCGAACA
rnacentral:rRNA from 1 species